rnacentral:rRNA from 1 species
UAGGGAAUCUUCGGCAAUGGACGGAAGUCUGACCGAGCAACGCCGCGUGAGUGAAGAAGGUUUUCGGAUCGUAAAGCUCUGUUGUAAGAGAAGAACGAGUGUGAGAGUGGAAAGUUCACACUGUGACGGUAUCUUACCAGAAAGGGACGGCUAACUACGUGCCAGCAGCCGCGGUAAUACGUAGGUCCCGAGCGUUAUCCGGAUUUAUUGGGCGUAAAGCGAGCGCAGGCGGUUAGAUAAGUCUGAAGUUAAAGGCUGUGGCUUAACCAUAGUACGCUUUGGAAACUGUUUAACUUGAGUGCAGAAGGGGAGAGUGGAAUUCCAUGUGUAGCGGUGAAAUGCGUAGAUAUAUGGAGGAACACCGGUGGCGAAAGCGGCUCUCUGGUCUGUAACUGACGCUGAGGCUCGAAAGCGUGGGGAGCAAACAGGAUUAGAUACCCUGGUAGUCCACGCCGUAAACGAUGAGUGCUAGGUGUUGGGUCCUUUCCGGGACUCAGUGCCGCAGCUAACGCAUUAAGCACUCCGCCUGGGGAGUACGACCGCAAGGUU